rnacentral:SRP_RNA from 1 species
GCCAGGUGUAGUGGCACACACCUGUAGUCCCAGCCACUUGGGUGGCUGAGGAAAAAGUAUCACUUGAGUUCAGGAGUGUUGGGGUGUACUGUACUAUACUAAUCAGGUGUGUCUGUAUUAAGUUUAGCACCAAUAUGGUGACCUCCUAGGAGGAAUGCUAGGUUGCAUAAGGAGGGAUGAACUGGCCUAGGUUGGAAAUGGAACAGGCCAAAACUCCUGUGCUGGGGCUGGAGAGAUGGCUCAGAGGUUAGGAGCACUGGCUACUCUUCCAGAGGACCCCCAGGUUCCAUUCCCA